rnacentral:rRNA from 1 species
UCGGGAAUAUUGCGCAGUGGAGGAAACUCUGACGCAGUGACGCCGCGUGCAGGAAGAAGGUUUUCGGAUUGUAAACUGCUUUAGACAGGGAAGAAACAAGACAGUACCUGUAGAAUAAGCUCCGGCUAACUACGUGCCAGCAGCCGCGGUAAUACGUAGGGAGCAAGCGUUAUCCGGAUUUAUUGGGUGUAAAGGGUGCGUAGACGGGAAUGCAAGUUGGUUGUGAAAUCCCUCGGCUCAACCGAGGAAUUGCAACCAAAACUAUAUUUCUUGAGUGCUGGAGAGGAAAGUGGAAUUCCUAGUGUAGCGGUGAAAUGCGUAGAUAUUAGGAGGAACACCAGUGGCGAAGGCGACUUUCUGGACAGUAACUGACGUUGAAGCACGAAAGUGUGGGGAGCAAACAGGAUUAGAUACC